rnacentral:rRNA from 1 species
CAAAUCUUGACAUCCCUCUGACAAACUGUGUAAAGCAGUCUUCUUCGGACAGAGGUGACAGGUGGUGCAUGGUUGUCGUCAGCUCGUGUCGUGAGAUGUUGGGUUAAGUCCCGCAACGAGCGCAACCCUUGUCUUUAGUAGCCAGCAUUUCGGAUGGGCACUCUAGAGAGACUGCCAGGGAUAACCUGGAGGAAGGUGGGGAUGACGUCAAAUCAUCAUGCCCCUUAUGAUUUGGGCUACACACGUGCUACAAUGGCGUAAACAAAGGGACGCGACCCUGUGAAGGCAAGCAAAUCCCAAAAAUAACGUCUCAGUUCGGAUUGUAGUCUGCAACUCGACUACAUGAAGCUGGAAUCGCUAGUAAUCGCGAAUC